GCCUGUUUAACAAAAACAUCGCCUUUGGGGAAGCAUAAAAGGUCUGACCUGCCCACUGUAAGUAAAGGGCCGCAGUAUAUUGACUGUGCAAAGGUAGCAUAAUCAUUAGUCUUUUAAUUGGAGGCUGGCAUGAAUGGUUGGAUGAAGUAAAAGCUGUCUCUUAUAUAUGAAAUAGAAUUUAGCCUCUCAGUCAAAAGGCUGGGAUGUAGUUAAAGGACGAGAAGACCCUAUAGAUCUUUAUGGGACUACAUGGUAUUAGAAGAUGCGUUAGGGUAUCAUGAAAUUUUCAUUUGGUUGGGGUGACACGGAAAUAAAAUAACUUUCUUAAAUUAAACACUGGUUAGUGAGAAGAGGAUCCAUGAAUUGUGAUUAAAAGAUUAAGUUACCUUAGGGAUAACAGCAUAAUCUUCCUAGAGAGUUCUAAUCGAUAGGAGGGGUUGUGACCUCGAUGUUGGACUAAGAGUUAGCCUGGGUGUAGCAGUCUGGGGUAAUGGUCUGUUCGACCAAUAAUCUCUUACAUGAUCUGAGUUCAAACCGGAGCUCC
rnacentral:rRNA from 1 species